CCACGGGAUUGCCUCAGUAACGGCGAGUGAAGCGGCAAAAGCUCAAAUUUUAAAGCUGGCACCUUCGGUGUCCGCGUUGUAAUUUUGUGAGGCAUCUCCGGGUAGGGCGCCGGCCUAAGUUCCUUGGAACAGGACGUCAUAGAGGGUGAGAAUCCCGUGCUUGGCUGGCUGUCCCCGUCCAUGUGAGGUGUCUUCGACGAGUCGAGUUGUUUGGGAAUGCAGCUCAAAAUGGGUGGUAAAUUUCAUCUAAAGCUAAAUAUUGGUGGGAGACCGAUAGCGCACAAGUAGAGUGAUCGAAAGAUGAAAAGCACUUUGAAAAUAGAGUUAAAAAGUACGUGAAAUUGUUGAAAGGGAAGCGCUUGAGACCAGACUUCGGUGGGGGGUGAUCAGCUGUCCUUCUGGGCGGUGCACUUGCUCCCCUCCGGGCCAGCAUCGGUUGGGGCGGCGGGAUAAAGAUCCCGGGAAUGUGGCUCCUUUCGGGGAGUGUUAUAGCCCGGGUGAAUGCCGCCAGCUCCGACCGAGGACCGCGCCUUCGGGCUAGGAUGCUUGGCAUAAUGGUCUUCAGCGACCCGUCUUGAAACCACGGACCAAAAAU
rnacentral:rRNA from 1 species